UGGGGAAUAUUGGACAAUGGGGGCAACCCUGAUCCAGCAAUGCCGCGUGUGUGAAGAAGGUCUUCGGAUUGUAAAGCACUUUCGACGGGGACGAUGAUGACGGUACCCGUAGAAGAAGCCCCGGCUAACUUCGUGCCAGCAGCCGCGGUAAUACGAAGGGGGCUAGCGUUGCUCGGAAUGACUGGGCGUAAAGGGCGUGUAGGCGGUUUACACAGUCAGAUGUGAAAUCCCCGGGCUUAACCUGGGAGCUGCAUUUGAUACGUGUAGACUAGAGUGUGAGAGAGGGUUUGUGGAAUUCCCAGUGUAGAGGUGAAAUUCGUAGAUAUUGGGAAGAACACCGGUGGCGAAGGCGGCAACCUGGCUCAUGACUGACGCUGAGGCGCGAAAGCGUGGGGAGCAAACAGGAUUAGAUACCCUGGUAGUCCACGCUGUAAACGAUGUGUGCUAGAUGUUGGGUAACUUUGUUAUUCAGUGUCGCAGUUAACGCGUUAAGCACACCGC
rnacentral:rRNA from 1 species